CUGAUUUGCUUAAUCGCACCACAUGUGUUUUUCUUUGAAACAAACUUGCUUUGGCGGUGGGCCCAGCCUGCCGCCAGAGGUCUAAACUUACAACCAAUCUUUUAUCAACUUGUCACACCAGAUUAUUACUAAUAGUCA
rnacentral:misc_RNA from 1 species